rnacentral:lncRNA from 1 species
UCUAUAUUUCCCCGUGAGGAUGAACUGAUGGUCCAUUUUCAUAGAUCCAACUGCCACCUUUAUGCCCAGGAGUCCCAAAUCUAUAGCUCUAGUUUUACUCCCCUGAAAUCCACACAGACUUUCCAAAUGCCUGCUAGACAUCAUGAGGAUAUCUUGCUAAUAUACCCCCCACCAAGCUCAUUGUCUUUUCAUCCAGAUUUUUCCUCCUGCUUCUCCUCCCUCCCUUAAUGCCUUUAUCAUUGCCUUAGUGACCCCUGCUAUGAAAUCAACCAUUGUUUCCUUCUCUUAUCACCCUCUUUCCCCUAAGCCCUAUAACUCAUUUCCCGCAGUUUCCUUUACUUUUCACUCUUUCCCCAUUCCCCGCUACACAGACCCAGGAUUCAUCUCUUGCCUAAUAUUUUUCAAUUUCUUCCUAAUGAUUUUCCCUACCUUUGGUUUCAGAUCUCCAUUUUUCAGGGAUUUUUUUCCCCUAAAUUACAAAUAAUAUUUUCCUCUUGAAAUAUCUUACUGAUAUUUUGUUGCCUAAUUUAACAAAUAAAGCCCCAAAUUACUCCC